CGCAUAGGGGAGCCGAAGGGAAACCGAGUCUUAACCGGGCGUUAAGUUGCAGGGUAUAGACCCGAAACCCGGUGAUCUAGCCAUGGGCAGGUUGAAGGUUGGGUAACACUAACUGGAGGACCGAACCGACUAAUGUUGAAAAAUUAGCGGAUGACCUGUGGCUGGGGGUGAAAGGCCAAUCAAACCGGGAGAUAGCUGGUUCUCCCCGAAAGCUAUUUAGGUAGCGCCUCGUGAAUUCAUCUCCGGGGGUAGAGCACUGUUUCGGCUAGGGGGCCAUCCCGGCUUACCAACCCGAUGCAAACUGCGAAUACCGGAGAAUGUUAUCACGGGAGACACACGGCGGGUGCUAACGUCCGUCGUGAAGAGGGAAACAACCCAGACCGCCAGCUAAGGUCCCAAAGUCAUGGUUAAGUGGGAAACGAUGUGGGAAGGCCCAGACAGCCAGGAUGUUGGCUUAGAAGCAGCCAUCAUUUAAAGAAAGCGUAAUAGCUCACUGGUCGAGUCGGCCUGCGCGGAAGAUGUAACGGGGCUAAACCAUGCACCGAAGCUGCGGCAGCGACACUUUAGUGUUGUUGGGUAGGGGAGCGU
rnacentral:rRNA from 1 species